rnacentral:rRNA from 1 species
CCUACGGGUGGCUGCAGUGGGGAAUUUUGGACAAUGGGCGAAAGCCUGAUCCAGCCAUUCCGCGUGAGUGAAGAAGGCCUUCGGGUUGUAAAGCUCUUUCGGCAGGAACGAAACGGUGAGAGCUAAUAUCUCAUUACUAAUGACGGUACCUGAAGAAGAAGCACCGGCUAACUACGUGCCAGCAGCCGCGGUAAUACGUAGGGUGCGAGCGUUAAUCGGAAUUGCGGAGCCUAAGGCGUGAGUCGGAUGUGAAAGCCCCGGGCUUAACCUGGGAACGGCAUGUGAAACUAGGUCGCUAGAGUAUGGCAGAGGGGGGUAGAAUUCCACGUGUAGCAGUGAAAUGCGUAGAGAUGUGGAGGAAUACCGAUGGCGAAGGCAGCCCCCUGGGUCAAUACUGACGCUCAUGCACGAAAGCGUGGGGAGCAAACAGGAUUAGAUACCCGUGUAGUC